GAUGAACGCUGGCGGCGUGCCUAAUACAUGCAAGUCGAGCGAACGGACGAGAAGCUUGCUUCUCUGAUGUUAGCGGCGGACGGGUGAGUAACACGUGGAUAACCUACCUAUAAGACUGGGAUAACUUCGGGAAACCGGAGCUAAUACCGGAUGAUAUUUUGAACCGCAUGGUUCAAAAGUGAAAGACGGUCUUGCUGUCACUUAUAGAUGGAUCCGCGCUGCAUUAGCUAGUUGGUAAGGUAACGGCUUACCAAGGCAACGAUGCAUAGCCGACCUGAGAGGGUGAUAGGCCACACUGGAGCUGAGACACGGUCCAGACUCCUAAGGGACGCAGCAGUAGGGAACCGUCCGCAAUGGGCGAAAGCCUGACGGAGCAACGCCGCGUGAGUGAUGAAGGUGUUCGGAUCGUAAAACUCUGUUAUUAGGGAAGAACAUAUGUGUAAGUAACUGUGCCCAUCUUGACGGUACCUAAUCAGAAAGCCACGGCUAACUACGUG
rnacentral:rRNA from 1 species